rnacentral:piRNA from 1 species
UGGCCAAUUCCUGACUUACCUGGGCAA